rnacentral:rRNA from 1 species
AUUGAACGCUGGCGGCAGGCCUAACACAUGCAAGUCGAGCGGGGUUUUCGGACCUAGCGGCGGACGGGUGAGUAAUGCGUAGGAAGCUACCCGACAGAGGGGGAUACCAGUUGGAAACGACUGUUAAUACCCGCAUAAUGUCUACGGACCAAAGUGUGGGACCUUCGGGCCACAUGCUGUCGGAUGCGCCUACGUGGAUUAGCUAGUUGGUGAGGUAAUGGCUCACCAAGGCGACGAUCCGUAACUGGUCUGAGAGGAUGAUCAGUCACACUGGAACUGAGACACGGUCCAGACUCCUACGGGAGGCAGCAGUGGGGAAUAUUGGACAAUGGGGGGAACCCUGAUCCAGCAAUGCCGCGUGUGUGAACGAGGCCUGAGGGUUGUAAAGCACUUUCAGUGGGGAGGAGGUUGAUAGGUUAAGAGCUAAUUAACUGGACGUUACCUACAGAAGAAGCACCGGCUAACUCCGUGCCAGCAGCCGCGGUAAAGUGACUACU